rnacentral:misc_RNA from 1 species
GUAUUUUGAAUUAAGUAUUCAUAAUAUUUUUCAGACAAAUUGGUUUAAGAAAGAGUUGAUAUAUAAAGACCCUGCCCAAGAACAGUCGAAACUGUCUUGAACGAGAGACUUAACAUUGCACACAAGGUGGAUAUGGAUUUUUAAAAAGUGCCAUAAAACACUUUAUUAUGAAUGAUCCUUCCGCAGGUUCACCUACGGAAA